rnacentral:rRNA from 1 species
AUACGUAGGGUGCGAGCGUUGUCCGGAAUUACUGGGCGUAAAGAGCUCGUAGGUGGUUUGUCGCGUCGUCUGUGAAAUUCCGGGGCUUAACUCCGGGCGUGCAGGCGAUACGGGCAUAACUUGAGUACUGUAGGGGAGACUGGAAUUCCUGGUGUAGCGGUGAAAUGCGCAGAUAUCAGGAGGAACACCGGUGGCGAAGGCGGGUCUCUGGGCAGUAACUGACGCUGAGGAGCGAAAGCAUGGGUAGCGAACAGGAUUAGAUACCCUGGUAGUCCAUGCCGUAAACGGUGGGCGCUAGGUGUAGGGGUCUUCCACGACUUCUGUGCCGUAGCUAACGUAUUAAGCGCCCCGCCUGGGGAGUACGGCCGCAAGGCUAAAACUCAAAUGAAUUGACGGGG